GAAUAUUGGACAAUGGGCGAAAGCCUGAUCCAGCAAUGCCGCGUGAGUGAAGAAGGCCUUAGGGUUGUAAAGCUCUUUUACCCGGGAUGAUAAUGACAGUACCGGGAGAAUAAGCUCCGGCUAACUCCGUGACAGCAGCCGCGGUAAUACGGAGGGAGCUAGCGUUGUUCGGAAUCACUGGGCGUAAAGUGCACGUAGGCGGCUUUGUAAGUUAGAGGUGAAAGCCCGGGGCUCAACUCCGGAACUGCCUUUAAGACUGCAUCGCUUGAAUCUGGGAGAGGUAAGUGGAAUUCCGAGUGUAGAGGUGAAAUUCGUAGAUAUUCGGAAGAACACCAGUGGCGAAGGCGGCUUACUGGACCAGAAUUGACGCUGAGGUGCGAAAGCGUGGGGAGCAAACAGG
rnacentral:rRNA from 1 species